GACGAACGCUGGCGGCGUGCUUAACGCAUGCAAGUCGAACGGAAAGGCCCUGCUUUUGUGUGGUGCUCGAGUGGCGAACGGGUGAGUAACACGUGAGUAACCUGCCCUUGACUUUGGGAUAACUUCAGGAAACUGGGGCUAAUACCGGAUAGGAGCUCCUGCUGCAUGGUGGGGGUUGGAAAGUUUCGGCGGUUGGGGAUGGACUCGCGGCUUAUCAGCUUGUUGGUGGGGUAGUGGCUUACCGAGGCUUUGACGGGUAGCCGGCCUGAGAGGGUGACCGGCCACAUUGGGACUGAGAUACGGCCCAGACUCCUACGGGAGGCAGCAGUGGGGAAUAUUGCACAAUGGGCGGAAGCCUGAUGCAGCAACGCCGCGUGCGGGAUGACGGCCUUCGGGUUGUAAACCGCUUUCGCCUGUGACGAAGCGUGAGUGACGGUAAUGGGUAAAGAAGCACCGGCUAACUACGUG
rnacentral:rRNA from 1 species